GCCGAGGUGGCGAAACCGGCAGACGCGGCCGACCUAAACUCGGCUGCCCGCAAGGGCGUGGGAGUUCGAACCUCCCCCUCGGCA
rnacentral:tRNA from 1 species